rnacentral:rRNA from 1 species
CAGCCGCCGCGGUAAUACGGAGGGUGCAAGCGUUAAUCGGAAUUACUGGGCGUAAAGCGCACGCAGGCGGUCUGACAAGUCAGAUGUGAAAUCCCCGGGCUUAACCUGGGAACUGCAUUUGAAACUGUCAGGCUGGAGUCUUGUAGAGGGGGGUAGAAUUCCAGGUGUAGCGGUGAAAUGCGUAGAGAUCUGGAGGAAUACCGGUGGCGAAGGCGGCCCCCUGGACAAAGACUGACGCUCAGGUGCGAAAGCGUGGGGAGCAAACAGGAUUAGAGACCCCUGUAGUCCCUGUCUCUUAUAC